AAACCGAUUACGCAAAGUCAUCUGUAAAAGGCCCGAAAAUGGUGAAUGUAAAACAAUUCAAACAAGCAAUCAAACGGUCAGAUUUAUGAACAAAACAAUGAACAAAUAUGAUAUACAGCAACACUGUGUAUGCAGAGAAACUAAUGUCUCUGUUCUUCAAUUUGGAUAAGUAUAAGAUUGAAUUGUCACCCUAUUAAUACUCUGCUGAGCAAGUCUGUUCUCAUUAAACCUAGUUUAUAAUAAGGUUAUUUAGUCCCAAAAAUUAAUAGUGAUUUUUGCGUUUACAAAAAUUCUUAGCGGACAUACGACUUGAAAGACGGAGAGAGAAAAAUGGAAACUACAGUUCUGCGCAUGCUAUCAAUACGUGGCCCUUGAUAUCAUUUUUUUUUCGUGAACAUAGACAAUAAUAGUGCAUUGACUUGACAUAUCAACGAUAUAAGGAUGAGGCUUAGAAACGGGGAAAUGCGAGGAUGUGCCGAGCUUUUUCCCCGUUUCGGGCCGAAUCCUUAUAGCAUUGAUAUGUCAAGUCAAUGCACUAUUAUUGUCUUUAUACUGCAAUCUAAAAA
rnacentral:lncRNA from 1 species